CAGUUUCCUUCUUCCACAAUUGAACUCGUCUUCUCCGUUUUCUCAUAAUCUGCACAGUUUCUUUCCUCAUCUCUUGACAUUCUGAAGUUUAAUGUAUUCUUAAAUUUCAGCAAUAACUGCUAUACACAUUAAAUCUAUAACGAUUUCGACCUCUUCGAUUCUUCGCCGCCAAAUCUAUAAAUAGGGGAUGCUUGAGAGGUGGAUGAACCUCCACAAUCAAAUCGUUUUUAUAACUUCUUAAAGUAUUUUCAGAAUUGCUCCUUUUGGUUUCGUUUAAAUGAAUUCUUUAGACCCUUAAAUCCAAUUGUAUCAUCUCUUUUUAGACACGAUUGGAAAGCAACUUUUAGUUUCAGACCAUUCCGUUUCAGUUCUCCGAUGAAAAAGAGAACUUAGAGCAUUGAUUCUCAGGACUGAAUCAGCUCCAGGAUGUCGUCAACGUUUAUACGAACAUCUAUCCAAGCAACGUACUGUCACAAUCAUGUUUGGAAGACAAUGAAGGUUUCGGAUGGAGUCCACACGCUGUCUAGGAUCCAUUUGGUGAUGCUUUCCAAUGGCUGGAGAUUUCGGAGAAACUAACGACAGAUUCGUCAAGUCAGGAGAAGCAGCGGUGGAUCAGGAGGAUAAGAUAGUUUUGCCUCCGAGGAAGAAGCAUGACAUGAGUCGGAGUUUGGAGAAGAAAAAGAGAAUGAGGAGAGGAAGGAGAAAGCUUUAAAGGAGUAUGUGAUUUUCUUGGUAAGUGGUUAAGUUCUAUAUUGAUUUGUUUGGUACGUGGUUGAUUUAAUAUGAUCAUGUUUGAUUUAAUAUAAUGAGUACAUGUAAUGAGUUCUCCAAGGAGCAGGAUUAUCAUGAUGCUUUGAAACAUCACACUGAAGCGAUAAAAACCAUCCAACAGACCUGAGAGUAAGGCCAACUAUAAUCAUCUUAUAUGUGCAUCACUGUUGUGUACAAAGGCUUCCAUAUUCAGUGGUGAUCAGCUUAGCUUCAUGUACCCUAGUAGGUUGAUAGAUUUAAGAGUCAUAUUGCUCAUCUUGAAGAAAAUCAAUGUAAACCAAAAGCAAACACAAGAGUUAGAAGUACCGCACUAACCCUGGCCAACAUAUUCUCUCUCUCUCUCAAAACCAUUGUGCCUCUAUGUAAAUGUGUG